ACACCUGUCUUAGUUCAGUUUGUGUUGCUAUAAAGGAAUAACUGGGGCUGGGUGCAGUGGCUCACGCCUGUAAUCCCAGCACUUUGGGAGGCCAAGGUGGGUAGAUCACUUGAGGUCAGGAGUUUGAAAACAGCCUGGCCAACAUGGUGAAACCCCGUCUCUACUAAAAAUACAAAAGUUAGCCGGGUGUGGUGGCUCAUGCCUGUAAUCCCAGCAGUUUGGGAGGCCAAGGCGGGUGGAUUGCUUGAGUCCUGGAGUUAGAGACCAGCCUGGGCCACAUGGCCAAAUCCCAUCUGUACAAAAAAUACAAAAAUUAGGCUGGCCGUGGUGGCUCAAGCCUGUAAUCCCAGCACUUUGGGAAGCCGAGGAGGGUGGAUCACAGGA
rnacentral:lncRNA from 1 species